GGUGGGGUAGUGUAGUGGUUAAGGAACAGGGCUAGCAAGCCUGAAAAGUUACGGGUUCAAAUCCCGACCUCCACCA
rnacentral:tRNA from 1 species